CACGUAGGGUGCGAGCGUUGUCCGGAAUUAUUGGGCGUAAAGAGCUCGUAGGCGGUGUGUCGCGUCGGCCGUGAAAACCUGCAGCUUAACUGUGGGCUUGCGGUCGAUACGGGCAUCACUGGAGUUCGGAAGGGGAGACUGGAAUUCCUGGUGUAGCGGUGAAAUGCGCAGAUAUCAGGAGGAACACCGGUGGCGAAGGCGGAUCUCUGGGCCAUUACUGACGCUGAGGAGCGAAAGCGUGGGGAGCGAACAGG
rnacentral:rRNA from 1 species